AUACGGAGGAUCCGAGCGUUAUCCGGAUUUAUUGGGUUUAAAGGGUGCGCAGGCGGGAGAUUAAGUCGGCGGUGAAAUUUUGCAGCUCAACUGUAAAAGUGCCUUCGAAACUGGUUUCCUUGAGUGUAGAUGAAGUAGGCGGAAUUUGUGGUGUAGCGGUGAAAUGCAUAAAUAUCACGAGGAACUCCGAUUGCGCAGGCAGCUUACUAAACUACUACUGACGCUCAGGCACGAAGGCGUGGGGAUCAAACAGGAUUAGAUACCCUGGUAGUCCACGCAGUAAACGAUGAUUACUAGCUGUUUGCGAUACAAUGUAAGCGGCUGAGCGAAAGCGUUAAGUAAUCCACCUGGGGAGUACGUUCGCAAGAAUGAAACUCAAAGGAAUUGACGGGG
rnacentral:rRNA from 1 species